rnacentral:lncRNA from 1 species
GAAGUCCGCUAACUGCAGUUUCAUUUAUUCUCCAGAAAGAUAAUGUAUGCAUUUGUCCAAAUGUCAUUGAUGUUUACUGAUGAAAAACACGUUUAGGAUUAAGGUUGAAAUGCAGUAUUUUAUUAUAAACCAUAUCGAAGUCAAUGGGAGAGAACUUGUGAGAUCCACACACAACAUCCACAUUAACUUAAAUCCUUGGUGAAGGAUACUCAUCUUUUAUGGUCUUUCCAUUUAAUUUCCUGUAAUCCACACAAGGCCGCGAUGACGAG